rnacentral:rRNA from 1 species
UACGAAGGGGGCUAGCGUUGUUCGGAAUUACUGGGCGUAAAGCGCACGUAGGCGGAUUGUUAAGUCAGGGGUGAAAUCCCAGAGCUCAACUCUGGAACUGCCUUUGAUACUGGCAAUCUCGAGUCCGGAAGAGGUGAGUGGAACUCCUAGUGUAGAGGUGGAAUUCGUAGAUAUUAGGAAGAACACCAGUGGCGAAGGCGGCUCACUGGUCCGGAACUGACGCUGAGGUGCGAAAGCGUGGGGAGCAAACAGG